CCCCCAACCUCCAAAACUCUGAGCCUCUUGCCAGAUGCUGUUGCUUAGCAGCUGUUACCAUAACAAUGGUUCUUCUAAUACCUUGGGUAAAAAUUUUAUAAAACAUGCAAAUCCAUUCUGAGAAACUGAGAAAAAGAAUCCUACCUUUAUAUUAAAAUUGUCAUCAAGAAGAAUGUUUUCCAAUUUUAGGUCCCUGUGGACAACACCAUUCUGAAACAAGGAAGAAAAAAACGGGGAAGAGCAUGAGAAAAUAUUGGAAAAAUUAAAGGUGGGAAGAAGGAUCCAUGGACAGAUAUUCUUAUGGGGAAAUGAAGCAUCCAAAGGGUUCUGAAAAGAUCCUUCUGCCUCUGGGUGCAUGGUGAGCUCCCCAGCAACCGAAACGGAAAGCUCUGAGGGCUGUGAUGGCGUUUCUGAAGGCAUCAGCUGAAUAUGUACCAGGUAGCUGCUCUGUUUGAAAUUCCAGGCAGCUGGAAACAACACCAUGAAGAAGGCUGUCCCUCGCUGAAGAGCCUAAUGGUGAGCAUUGGGCUAUCUACAUUGUUAAUCUUUUGCACAGAAUUAGCUAAUAAACAUGCCCUGAGGCCCAGCCUGCUUCCCCAACACCACAGACCAUGACUGUUUAAUGCAUAGACCAUAUAAACCAGUACUGCCUCCCCUGAUAAUGUUCUUAUGCUGCUGUGUCCAGACCCUGAGAAGGGAACUUGGAAAAGGAGAGUCUCACUCAGGAUGGGAACAUUCAUUAGCUAUUAGGUAUUCUGGUAAGCAACUCUGAUGCACUCAUAGGAAAGGAGAGGAUUAUUUGAACUGGAGGUGUUGGAAACCAUUGUUGGGUAUAUUACACAUUUUCUGUGUGGCUUUGGGUGAAGUGCUUUUUGGCCUACAUUUUGUACCAGGAAAGAAAAGGGGAAUGUAGCUACUGACUUGAGUGGGAUCUGGAUCAGGAUCCUUGUCACUCUGUGUAAGUUUCCCAUCUGGGUGGAAAUUUUCAUGUGACCACACUGUUUCAAUUUACAGACUUUGCACACUUAGCAGAGGUUGUCCAGGAAAAGCUUCCCAGGCUGAGCAGUCUGCUGCCCUUCCCAGGUCUCUGGCUCACAGCAACACCACCUUGCAGGCUGGAUCUCACUCCCUUGCAAAAGUGUUUUGAGUUUCCAGGGGAGGGAGCUACUUGUCAGUAAGGUUUUUUUGGCCUGAGUGACACUGAAGUGUGAACUACUCAAACACACUCUGGGAACUGCAAAGUGUUUGUUUUACCUGCUACUGACAAGGAUAUAAAUUCCUAUGUGCUCUCGCUAAACAAGUAGCUCUUCAGUGGCUCUCAUUGUAAGGCUUGGCUCUGCUUGUGACUUCAGAUUUUUUACUGUAAAUCAAUUAAAAUCUAACCAUAAUAUUCUGUAUCCCUCACUAUGUAUAUACAGUUGAGAAGUUUGGUGAAAAGGGAGAAAUGAGGGGAAAAAAAUUAUCAGAACUUUUAAAGUCAGAUCAGUAAAAAAAUUCAAAAGGUUCAAGAUAACCCUGAUUCUUUCUCCACUUGUUAUGUUUUCCAUCCUUACUCAUAACUCUAGGAUUCCAUCCCAACCUAAGCAGUAUUGACAGGAAAGGAUUAUCCACUGGAAUUUGACAUAUUUACAUCUAGAGAGUGCCAAAGCAAAGUCUUUCUGAGUGGAACAAAGCCACCCUUAUUUGAACUAGCUUCUUCCUCUAGAAUUGCAGAUGAACACCAGUGUGAGGCACAGGAGUUGUGUAAUUAGUGUUUCCUCAAAACUAAUUUUUUUUUCCAAACAGGAUGUGCAGUAAAAUAAGAAAUUGCAUCUUUGCCCUUUUUUCCUCUCACAGUGAAGUAGGAAUCACUUGAGAAAAGAUUUGUCCCCAUGAUGCUAAGCACAGCAUCUAGUAGCAUCAUCGUGGAAAAGAUUUUGUUUUUGAGAUGUACUAUUUGCAAAUCUGUGGCAGCCAAGAGAACACCUGCUCCAUAAGCAAAAAAAAAAAAAAAAGAAAAAAAAAUCAGAGUUCAGGGAUCUUUUUCUGAGGUCUAGCAAGCUACAGCUGUGAUGCUGUAUUAACUCUGAAUAGCUCUGGGGUUUAGUAUUUGCAUUAUAAAUGCAGGAAUUAUCAAGCUCUGCUCACAUAAAGGGAUUUCCAAGUUCUUUCACUUUCUGAGUGCAUGAGCAAGCACAGACUCUGGAGAAAUGACAUUACAUUGGGAGCU